GGGGACCAAGCCCAUGACCUACGCACGUGUGCUGACGGGACCAAACUCUCAACCCUUUGGUUGAUGGUACAAUGCCAACUGAUCACACUGGCCAGGGCUUUAAUGCAGUCUUUGACCUUAAACAUCUGGAUCCUGGAUAGCUCUGGCUGUGGGUAUUAGUGACAAGGGACUUCUCCCUAAGCCUCUUAUUUAGUGAGUUCUUUCCAGGGAUGUCAGUGAUAGGCUCUGGUUGUGGGGCUGAGCAGAAAUAGAUUAUAGCCAUUAAAAAGCCCAGAAUCCUUUCUCCUUAUUCUGGUGCCCUUCUUCCAUUUGUGUGACCAAAACCUGUUGGCCUGAAUAAAGACAAACAGUGCCGCAGAAGGCCAGCUUGGUCACGUGUGUGCCUACGGUGGGCUGCUGCGAAAAUGCAAGCAGAUUGGUUCUUGGUCUGUGUUAGAGCUGCACAAUGUGAGUAAUGAAUGUAUUUGAG